rnacentral:rRNA from 1 species
UACGGAGGGGGCUAGCGUUGUUCGGAAUUACUGGGCGUAAAGCGCACGUAGGCGGCUUUGCAAGUUAGAGGUGAAAGCCCGGGGCUCAACUCCGGAAUUGCCUUUAAAACUGCAUCGCUAGAAUUGUGGAGAGGUAAGUGGAAUUCCGAGUGUAGAGGUGAAAUUCGUAGAUAUUAGGAAGAACACCAGUGGCGAAGGCGGCUCACUGGCCCGAUACUGACGCUGAGGCACGAAAGCGUGGGGAGCAAACAGG